UACGAAGGGGGCUAGCGUUGCUCGGAAUCACUGGGCGUAAAGGGUGCGUAGGCGGGUCUUUAAGUCAGGGGUGAAAUCCUGGAGCUCAACUCCAGAACUGCCUUUGAUACUGAAGAUCUUUGAGUUCGGGAGAGGUGAGUGGAACUGCGAGUGUAGAGGUGAAAUUCGUAGAUAUUCGCAAGAACACCAGUGGCGAAGGCGGCUCACUGGCCCGAUACUGACGCUGAG
rnacentral:rRNA from 1 species